rnacentral:rRNA from 1 species
GCUGACAUAAGUAACGAUAAUGCGGGUGAAAAGCCCGCACGCCGGAAGACCAAGGGUUCCUGUCCAACGUUAAUCGGGGCAGGGUGAGUCGACCCCUAAGGCGAGGCCGAAAGGCGUAGUCGAUGGGAAACAGGUUAAUAUUCCUGUACUUGGUGUUACUGCGAAGGGGGGGACGGAGAAGGCUAUGUUAGCCGGGCGACGGUUGUCCCGGUUUAAGCAUGUAGGCGGAGGUUCCAGGUAAAUCCGGUACCUUUUUAACGCUGAGGUGUGAUGACGAGGCACUACGGUGCUGAAGUAACAAAUGCCCUGCUUCCAGGAAAAGCCUCUAAGCAUCAGGUAACAUUGAAUCGUACCCCAAACCGACACAGGUGGUCAGGUAGAGAAUACCAAGGCGCUUGAGAGAACUCGGGUGAAGGAACUAGGCAAAAUGGUGCCGUAACUUCGGGAGAAGGCACGCUGAUAUGUAGGUGAAGCCCCUGCGGGUGGAGCUGAAAUCAGUCGAAGAUACCAGCUGGCUGCAACUGUUUAUUAAAAACACAGCACUGUGCAAACACGAAAGUGGACGUAUACGGUGUGACGCCUGCCCGGUGCCGGAAGGUUAAUUGAUGGGGUUAUCCGUAAGGAGAAGCUCUUGAUCGAAGCCCCGGUAAACGGCGGCCGUAACUAUAACGGUCCUAAGGUAGCGAAAUUCCUUGUCGGGUAAGUUCCGACCUGCACGAAUGGCGUAAUGAUGGCCAGGCUGUCUCCACCCGAGACUCAGUGAAAUUGAACUCGCUGUGAAGAUGCAGUGUACCCGCGGCAAGACGGAAAGACCCCGUGAACCUUUACUAUAGCUUGACACUGAACAUUGAGCCUUGAUGUGUAGGAUAGGUGGGAGGCUUUGAAGCGUGGACGCCAGUCUGCGUGGAGCCAACCUUGAAAUACCACCCUUUAAUGUUUGAUGUUCUAACGUUGGCCCCUUAUCGGGGUUGCGGACAGUGUCUGGUGGGUAGUUUGACUGGGGCGGUCUCCUCCCAAAGAGUAACGGAGGAGCACGAAGGUUAGCUAAUCCUGGUCGGACAUCAGGAGGUUAGUGCAAUGGCAUAAGCUAGCUUGACUGCGAGCGUGACGGCGCGAGCAGGUGCGAAAGCAGGUCAUAGUGAUCCGGUGGUUCUGAAUGGAAGGGCCAUCGCUCAACGGAUAAAAGGUACUCCGGGGAUAACAGGCUGAUACCGCCCAAGAGUUCAUAUCGACGGCGGUGUUUGGCACCUCGAUGUCGGCUCAUCACAUCCUGGGGCUGAAGUAGGUCCCAAGGGUAUGGCUGUUCGCCAUUUAAAGUGGUACGCGAGCUGGGUUUAGAACGUCGUGAGACAGUUCGGUCCCUAUCUGCCGUGGGCGCUGGAGAAUUGAGGGGGGCUGCUCCUAGUACGAGAGGACCGGAGUGGACGCAUCACUGGUGUUCGGGUUGUCAUGCCAAUGGCAUUGCCCGGUAGCUAAAUGCGGAAGAGAUAAGUGCUGAAAGCAUCUAAGCACGAAACUUGCCCCGAGAUGAGUUCUCCCUGAGACUUUAAGUCUCCUGAAGGAACGUUAAAGACGAUGACGUUGAUAGGUCGGGUGUGUAAGCGUAGCGAUACGUUGAGCUAACCGAUACUAAUGAACCGUGAGGCUUAACCUU